rnacentral:rRNA from 1 species
UACGGAGGAUGCGAGCGUUAUCCGGAUUUAUUGGGUUUAAAGGGUGCGUAGGCUGUAAGGUAAGUCAGCGGUAAAAGCCCGGGGCUCAACCCCGGCGAGCCGUUGAAACUGCCGUGCUAGAGAGGAAGAGAAGUAGGCGGAAUGCGCAGUGUAGCGGUGAAAUGCAUAGAUAUCGCGCAGAACUCCGAUUGCGAAGGCAGCAUACCGGCGCUCAACUGACGCUGAGGCACGAAAGUGCGGGGAUCGAACAGG